CAAGUACUCCCUCCGUCCGGAAUUACUUGUCAUCAAAAUGGAUGUGUCUAGAACUAAAAUACAUCUAGAUACAUCCAUUUCAAUGACAAGUAUUUUCGUAUGGAGGGAGUACAAG
rnacentral:pre_miRNA from 1 species